rnacentral:lncRNA from 1 species
UUUGGCAAGCAUGCAAUAUGGAGAUUGGGGAAGAAACAGUAAAAUUCAGGGUGGGAGUGCUGCAUGUUAUAACUGAGGACAGAUGUGGUCUCAUGGAAAUGCUUGUAGUAUACAUAAAGAAGGCAUCACACAUCCUUGAAUUAAUAGGAAUAUAUAUUCUAAUUAAUUGACAGCAAGAGCUGUUGAUAGAAUGAAAGAAUAGAUCUCAAGCUCCCUAAGCAAGCACCCAGACACAGCCAAAUAAAUUGCUGAGACUCUGUCUUUAUAUAACAUAUGAUGCAGUGUUGCAGUAAUCAGCCUAUGUUUUCCUGU